AUGUUAGGUGAUAACAGAACUUUCUCUUUCUUCUAGCAGGAGGAAGUUGCAAUUGAACUCAUCUUCCCAGAGCCCAGAGUGGUUUUCUCGCUCCCGUAAGAGGUAGCUGCUACUUAUCAAAGGUUCCAGCUCUCUAGAUGCUACAAACACGAAGUUAUUUCAAUAAUACAUAUCUAAACCAGACUGCAAGGCUAACAUCAAAAAAGGAUUGAAAUGCUGUUUUUCUUCCCUGGUACAAUGUUAAAGCUUUAAACUCUUGUCAAUGAUGUGAUGUUUCAUCUGCAAUGAUCUACACUAGAAAAAUAAAAAUGUAGUUACUGACAAAAAAGCAGGAACUACUGCUCUAAGGAAAAAAGGACAGCUACAUGAGGACCACACAACUCCUGGAAGAGGUUUCCCUGGCAACACAACUUUUCCAUUCAUCUGGUUGCAGUGUUUUCAUCCAGUAGCCUGUCACCUCACUCAAAAGCAGGGCAAUGGAGAGAAAGAAACUUACCAAGUUUUUUCUUUUAACUAGAGAGUAGCCUACUUAUUGGGCCCUGCAAUUAAUUUCAGUACUCCAGGCAGAUUUAUAAAGGAAGCUGCUGGAAGGAAUUCAUUCCCUUUUUGCUGUUCUGCCUUCCACCUUCCACUGUGUGAGGACACUGCAAGAAAGCCCUCAUCAGACACCAACUGCCAGCACCUAGAUCUUGGAAUUCUCAGCCUCCAGAACUGUGAGAAACACGUUUCUGUUUUUCUAUAAAAUAAUAAUAAUAAAAAACUUCCAUGCAGGAAAAAAAAUCAAGUUCAAAGGUCCUGUGGUGAGGGCAUACCAGCUUUGUUUGAGAAGCAGUAAUCAUGCCUGUGUGACUGUAAUGAAAGAAUAAAAGAGAAAUGAGCACAGAAGAAUAUAAUGUAGUCCUUUUCAUUUUAAGCAAGAAAUUUGGCUUCAAUUCUAAAUGUGAUAAGAAAAAAACAGAAGGUUCCAAACUGAGAAGUGACAUAAUAUGAAAUGUUUUAACAGAAUCACCUUGUUACCAUAUUGCAAAUAAAAUGAAAGUGCAUCAAGGGCAGAAGUAGGAAGGCAAGUUAUGAGGUCAUUUUGAUAAUCCAGAGGAGCUGGGAUGAUGACUUACAGCAGUAUAGUAGCAAGGGUUGGGUGAGAACGUGGAAUCCUGGGUAUAUAUUAAAGUUUCAGCAAAAAGGAUUUAUAGAUGAAACAGAUAUGGGUUAUGAGAAAGAGUCAAGUUAAAGAUUAUAUCAAAAUUUUUUAUCUGAACAACUGGUAGUAUUGUGGUGAAUCCUUACCCCAUCAAUUUACGUGACCGAUAACUGAGUGGGAACAUUAAGGAAGGGAUGGUUUGAGUGAGAAUCAGGAUCUCAGUUUGGAAAUAUUAAGUUGAAUAUGCCUAUUUAAUAAUCAAAUGAAAAAUAGUAUUUUUGUAAUUUUCAGUAUUUAUUUGGCAAGAGAUUAAAUAAUCUAUAGCAUUGUUACUACUUUCUCUUUUUCAUAAAAGUUAUUUUGGUAUAAAAUCAACCUGACUGGGAACUAUCCAAAUAUAUAAGCCUUUAGCUUUGACCUAUUACUUAUAUUUUUUUGCCAUUAAUAAUAUGAACAUCCACUAAACAAGAACUUGAGACUAUAACUCUUCUCUAUUAAAUCUUCAUAUUAAAUUAGCCAUUUAAAUAGGAUUAUUAUUUUCAUUUAUUGCUGAAUACUUUCCAUUACAUUCAAACUUAUUGAGACAUCCUUAAAUUUUGUAAUUUAUUUAACGGAUUAAUUCCUUAGCUUCUAAACUGGUUUUCUGUACGGCAACCCUAUUUUCUUCUUAAUAACUCAUCAUCUACAUCCCCCAAUGUCUUAUUUUUCCAAAACAAAAGUGCACUAAUGCCCUUCUAGGGCAAAAAUUUCUUUAAUGGCUUUCUAUUGUUAUAGAUAAAGUUCAAACUUAUUAUGACGGCCUAUAAUUUUGGGGAAAAAACUCACCUAAAAACAGUUUUUAAAAGAUUAGAAUUCAAAUGCUUGAAAUUUCAGUUAUUUUAUGAGCUUUCUAUUCAAACAUUUCAGGGAGCUAAGACAUUACAUACUACACUACUACUACUACUACAAAUAAUAAUAAUAACAACAAUUAUAGUUACUCAUCUCAGUUUUGGCAGAGGAUACCAUUUAUAUAAAGAAUGUAAUUUGAUUGUAGCUAUUAAAAUAGUUACUAGACAAGAACUAGGAUGAUGGUAACAUUGACUUUUUAUCUGAAUCCUGGCUAUAUGUUUUCUGUUUGAAAAAAAAGUCAUUAAGUAUAAAAUUAUAAUUUUUAUAAUUUUGGAAUACAUAUUAUAAUAACACAUUUUUUUUAAACUGAGAAUUUAAGAUUUAAAAAGUACAGUAGGGGAAAGAAAAGGAAAAUAUAUUUUCUAUGUGCUUGUUUUAAUAAAUAAUGCCACCGAGGAUGUAAGUUUUCAAUGUCUAAUUAUUAAAUCAGCAUUACUUUCAUUAUUUUAACAACCUUCAUGGGGUUCUUAUAUUGAGACUCAAAUUAAAUAUGUAAUAUUAAUCCUAAUAUAGCUAUUUUUUCCUAACAAGAGCAUAAAACUUCCAAAAUUUCAUUCUGCAUAUUUAUAACUGAAUUUAUGACUGACAUAUUUCUUUUUCAAAUCAUGUCCAUCAUUAUAUGAACGGGUACUGAAUUUAUCCAUAUUUACUUACGUCUUUCUUCAGCCCCUCUGUCAACCCACUUAUCUUUUUGAUAGCUCAGUGAGCUGGCACUAGUUUUGUACCUCAGGAUGUUUACUCUGGCUAAUUUUGCCACUGAUCUUCUAAUGUCUGGUGCUUGGCAAUAAAGUCCCAGUUGGAGUUUUCAACCAACAGCAGUUUGCAUUCAGUUACUUAAUCUCUGUUUUGCAAUCUUAGUACCUUCCUUUCUGAUUGAAUGAAGACAGUUGCUCCUAGGGAUACCUGAACCUGAAAUGAACUGAAAAUAUUUUAUAGCUUUUCAAUUUGCCAGGCAGUAGAAGAAAAAUUCAUACCAAUCCCAUUGCUACAAACAGCUGUUACUAUAAGGUGAUAUUGCUAUGGAAUCCUAAAAUAGAACAAGGCAAAUACCAUCCCUGUGAGGGUUCUACUAUAUUUUGUGGAUCUCCAGCUGGAAACUUAAUUGUAAUAUAAACUGAGCAUACAGAAACAGCUUUCCUGCUUCUAUUCAGCAUACUUUCACUGAAUUGGAUAAUUUAAUCAAUAAGUUACAACACUCUUUAGUGUGAAGCUGCAUAAAAUUCUAGAAGGAGAGAAAAUUUGAUCUUUGAUUUCUAUUAUCUUUAUCUUCCUGCAUUAUAUUCUUCCAUGACUUUAGCUAAUACCUCUCCCCAUCACAAUAAAGUCUUUAAACACUUAGAAUCUAUUUUCUGUUUCUUGUGUCCAUAUCCUAUAACCAAAGACCACCAGGAACACCCCUGAGUUUAUUCUUGUUUACAGCAAUAAAUACUUCACACAAUGGGGAAAUGUGAAGUUAUCUCAGUAAGAGAGUAUUAAAAGAACCUAUUGUAUCAUUUGGGAUUUGGUUAUUUGGGGAAGAAAUUAAGGAAGCAAGACUGCCCUGGAUUGUCUGUUACCAGGAAGUGGGAGCAAUUUUAUGAUUAGGUAUGUCACCAAAUCUUAUCUAUAUGGAUGACAUACUAGAGUGAGGCUAAUGUAAUUGAGGAUAAGGUAACUGCUAAAGAAACAACAGUCACUUGUAUCUGGUAUGUUGUGAUUUGGACAACGUUCCUGUUUUGUUUAUGCUCAGAUAAAAUUAAGGAUUGUUGUUGUUUUUGUCAUUGUCCAUCA
rnacentral:lncRNA from 1 species